rnacentral:ncRNA from 1 species
CUAUGGCAUAUUGUGUCAUGGCGGAAGGAG